GAUGAAGAACGUAGCGAAAUGCGAUAAGUAGUGUGAAUUGCAGAAUUCAGUGAAUCAUCGAAUCUUUGAACGCGCAUUGCGCCCUUUGGUAUUCCUUAGGGCAUGCCUGUUCGAGCGUCAUUUAAACCUUCAAGCUAAGCUUGGUGUUGGGUGACUGUCCGCUUCACGGCGGACUCGCCUCAAAAUUAUUGGCGGCCGGUACAUUGGCUUCGAGCGCAGCAGAAACGCGAACUCGGGCCCGUCGUAUUGGCUCCCAGAAGCUAUCUUCACAAUUUUGACCUCGGAUCAGGUAGGGAUACCCGCUGAACUUAAGCAUAUCAAUAACGGAGGA
rnacentral:misc_RNA from 1 species